UACGUAGGGCGCAAGCGUUAUCCGGAAUUAUUGGGCGUAAAGAGCUCGUAGGCGGUUUGUCGCGUCUGCCGUGAAAGUCCGGGGCUCAACUCCGGAUCUGCGGUGGGUACGGGCAGACUAGAGUGAUGUAGGGGAGACUGGAAUUCCUGGUGUAGCGGUGAAAUGCGCAGAUAUCAGGAGGAACACCGAUGGCGAAGGCAGGUCUCUGGGCAGUAACUGACGCUGAGGAGCGAAAGUGUGGGGAGCGAACAGG
rnacentral:rRNA from 1 species